AUAGCGUAUAUUUAAGUUGUUGCAGUUAAAAAGCUCGUAAUUGGACCUUGGGCCAGGUCGGCCGGUCCGCCUCACGGCGAGCACCGACCUACUCGACCCUUCUGCCGGCGAUGCGCUCCUGGCCUUAAUUGGCCGGGUCGUGCCUCCGGCGCCGUUACUUUCAAGAAAUUAGAGUGCUCAAAGCAAGCCAUCGCUCUGGAUACAUUAGCAUGGGAUAACAUCAAAGGAUUCCAGUCCUAUUGUGUUGGCCUUCGGGAUCGGAGUAAUGAUUAAUAGGGACAGUCGGGGGCAUUCGUAUUUCAAAGUUAGAGGUGAAAUUCUUGGAUUUAUGAAAGACGAACAACUG
rnacentral:rRNA from 1 species